GGAUUAAACCAUGUGAAUGAUCAGUCCUCUAGUAUAUGGAAGUUCAGAGGCAGUCCAGUACUGUUAAAGGGGUUUUGUUCCACACUCCUUAAGAACCUGCACUCCCUCUUGACCCUGUGUUUCAAAGGACAACAGUGAGUUUAUAUUCCUGUUCUGGAUGGUUCUUUCUGAAUGAACCUUAAGAACAGAGUUGCAGAAAAUAUUUUUCUUAAUUCGCCCAAUCUGUUCUGCUCACAUGUAGCAUGCCUGUGAGCAUACUACAUGUUAAAGUGAAGGUAGAGGGCCUCCCUGGUGGCUCAGACAGUAAAGGUCUAUCUGCAAUGCAGGAAGCCUGGCUUCGAUGCCUGGGUUGGGAAGAUCCCCUGGAGGAGGGAAUGGCAACCCACUCCAGUAUGUUUCCCAUGGACAAAGAAACCUGACGGACUCCAUGGGGUUGCCAAGAGUGGGACACUGACUGAGCGACUAACACAGACACAAAGAGGCCUAUUUACUAAAUGAAGGACAAAGAAGGAAGUGGCAACAAAACCUGUUUCCAAGCCUGUGCUUAACGAUGGUGCCAAUGCAGGAUACAUUCAUGGUUUAGGUAUUCUCCUUUGCGGUGGAUGUAGUAUCAGUGGCCAAGUCUCUUAGAAAAAGACUGAUCUUUACCAAACCUCUUAUGUAACUCAAGUGGUUAGAGCUUACUCUCCAAACAGGAAGAGCAUGAGAGGCCAACAGAAACCUAGAAGACUUAAGUCCUUUUAAAACAUAGUGCUUUCCUUCCUCCCAUCAUUUGUCUUGUCUAAAAAAGUAGAGGGUCCCUUUCAAUAGUCCAUUUUCCUCCAUUUUAGUUACACCAGAGACAGAGGCCUUAUGUGGACUUGUUUGCUCCUAAGAUUUGCUUGGAGAAAUGACUGGAGCUGCUUUUUCACAGCUAGAAUUUGGGAACCAGACAGUGCAGUGUUCAGGACCUGCAGACCAGGACAGAGUUAUCUAUGCUGUCUUGCCAUAGUAAUGCCGUUCAUAAACAUGUUAAUCCUUAUUUUUACCCCAUCAAAGUGUUAAGAAAUUUCUGUUUGGCAACAAACUUCCUAAUUUUAAAGUUAGGCUCAAAAUAUACUCUAAUUGCUGAAAAAGUCAGUCCAAGGAAUAAGGCUGACCUACCAUGGCCUCCCUGGUAGCUCAGAUGGUAAAGUGUCUGCCUGCAAUGCUGGAGACCCAGGUUGGAUCCCUGGGUCAGGAAGAUCCCAUGGAGAAGGAAAUGGCAACCCACUCCAGUACUCUUGCCUGGAAAAUUCCAUGGACAGAGGAGCCUUGUAAGCUACAGUCCAUGGGGUCACAGAGCAACUUCACUUCUACCAUGUGCCAGGGUCUCUGCUGGGGUGGAGGGGAGGGGGGAAGAUGUAUGGAGACUACCUUCAAAAAGAUCGCAUUUUCACAUGGGAGAUGCUCAAUUAAAAAUUGGUUACAACAGUAUCCUAAAGUGCAAAGAAAGAUGUGAAUCUAAGGUAGAAAGGAAGCAUAGACAAAGGAGCAGUUGGCUUUGUGGGGAUCAAAGCGGCCACCAAGAAAGGCAUGUAGAAGAGUGACAUCUGAUCGAGAUUUGGACAGAUAUUUGGUCGGGGAAGUGAAGAUGGAAUUUAUUUCUGGCAGGGGAGGAAGCACAGAAAGAUCAGAAAUGAGAGCUCAGAAAUACCUUGUGGCAGAAAGUGAGCAGAAUAUUUUCAUUUGCUAAGAAGUUUUAUUUUCCUCUUAAAUAAAGCUGCCUUCCAGGUCUUAUGUAAGAUGAUGAUCUUCCUAUUUGGAAUCUGAAAAUAAAACCUGGCUGUGAUGAUUACCUAGAGAUUAUUAAAGUAGAAAUUUUAGUUAAGAUUUUUAUUCUAUAUAAAAUGAUAUAAUAGCUUUUCUAUGAAUAGAUGACCAAUAUUUUUCAUAUUCUUUGAAUUUAGAAUGACCAUAUUGGAACUGUUGUCAACAAUGCAUAAUAUUUUGGAAUGCUUCUCAGCAUUAUCAGGAGGAAAGUACAAAUCAAAUUUUAAAUUGACAUAAAAUACACAUUUGAACAAACAGCCCUACAAAGUGAACCUAUGUGGGAACUUCGAUAAUAACAUUGAAAUCUGUUUAUAAAAAUUAUUUUGGUGUACUGGGUUGGCCAGUGUUAUAGUUUUGAAAAAUCAUUUGCUUAUAAGGAAAAAUAUUAAUCUUUGUUAUAUACUAUCAUACCUUCUGGGCUUCCCUGGUACCUCAGCUGGUAAAGAGUCCACCUGCCAUGCAGGAGACCCCACUUCGAUUCCUGGGUUGGGAAGAUCCCCUGGAGGAGGGCAUGGCAACCCACUCAAUGUUCCUGCCAGGAGAAUCCCCAUGGAUAGAGGAACCUGGCGAGCUACUGUCCAUAGGGUCACAAAGAGUCGGACACGACUGAACUACACAAACACACUAAACCAUUCUUAAAAGGGAAAAAAAAUGACACUUUAACAGUAUGCAUGAGCAAGGGUAUUCAAUUAAUAUGUUUUAUUUAAAAAGCCACUAAUUAGAAUCAGGUUUCAUUUGACAAGUGAUAUCUAAACUUUGCAAAUCAGAAAUUGCCAGGUAUAACAUCAGCAGGAAUUUUGUUAAGUCACUUUAUUUUUUUUUUUAAUUUAAAUUUUUAUUUUUACUUUAUUUUACUUUACAGUACUGUAUUGGUUUUGCCAUACAUUGACAUGAAUCCACCACAGGUGUACAUGCGUUCCCAAACAUGAACCCCCCUCCUACCUCCCUCCCCAUAACAUCUCUCUGGGUCAUCCCCGUGCACCAGUCCCAAGCAUCCUGUAUCCUGCAUCGGACAUAGACUGACGAUUCGUUUCUUACAUGAUAAUUACAAAGAAAGUGGAGCACCUGGAAGAACUGGAGCUAUUUCCAUGGCAUCAGGCUUCAGGACAUCAGGUUCAACAGGUCCCUAAUCCUUAAGAAUAAAACAGGAGGGUAGAAUCCUUAAUGUGUUUUCUCAUAUCAAUUGAUGUUUUAUUUGGGAUGUUAACUGGAGGCUUAUCGAUCAUAAUCCAUGCUUUAGUCAAUCCUAAAGGUUUAUCAACCCUGAACAUUCAUUGGAAGGACUGAUUCUGAAGCUAAACUUCCAAUACUUUGGGCACCUGAUGCGAAGAGCCGACUCAAUGGAAAAGACCCUGAUGCUGGGAAAGACUGAAGACGGGAGGAGAAGGGGAGAAGAUGAGAUGGUUGGAUAGCAUCAACUACUCAAUGGACAUGAGUCUGAGCAAACUCCAGGAAAUGAUGGACAGGGAAGGCUGGCAUGCUGCAGUCCAUGGGGUCACAAAGAGUUGGACACAACUGAGUGACUGAACAACAACCAGAGGCUUGCUUGAUGGUGCAAAAACAAAAGUAAAGAUCAUUGCUCACUAAGGAAAUCUGGACUCCAGGUUGGGAUCCUAGAUUGUGGAUCUCCACAUUCCAAGCCAUCUAAUGGUCCUCUUUUCUAGUUAGCUUGUGGAAGCCUGAAAUGGAGGAAAACACUGCUUAUCCUGGGAUAAAUCAAUUAGUAUGUUGAAGGAAAUGAAAUAGCAGUUCUCUGAAUGUUUGUCACUUCUUAAUGAAAUUAAAUCCUCCCAUAUAAAGUAUUUUCACUGUGUUAAAUCCUUUCAUUUUAUAAAAAAGGUUUUUCUUUUAAUGAAACACUGAAUUUUAACUACUGCUGCUGCCUCAUUUUUAAGGGAUUUGUACAAGGACAUUUAAAUAGUUCUU
ensembl:lncRNA